rnacentral:miRNA from 3 species
UUACAAUUAAAGGAUAUUUCUU